rnacentral:rRNA from 1 species
GGGCUAGCGUUGCUCGGAAUCACUGGGCGUAAAGCGCACGUAGGCGGCUUUUUAAGUCAGGGGUGAAAUCCUGGGGCUCAACUCCAGAACUGCCUUUGAUACUGAGAAGCUUGAGUCCGGGAGAGGUGAGUGGAACUGCGAGUGUAGAGGUGAAAUUCGUAGAUAUUCGCAAGAACACCAGUGGCGAAGGCGGCUCACUGGCCCGGUACUGACGCUGAGGUGCGAAAGCCAGGGGAGCAAACGGG